rnacentral:rRNA from 1 species
UACGAAGGGGGCUAGCGUUGUUCGGAUUUACUGGGCGUAAAGCGCACGUAGGCGGGUUGUUAAGUCAGGGGUGAAAUCCUGGAGCUCAACUCCAGAACUGCCUUUGAUACUGGCAACCUAGAGGCUGGAAGAGGUUAGUGGAAUUCCCAGUGUAGAGGUGAAAUUCGUAGAUAUUCGCAAGAACACCAGUGGCGAAGGCGGCUCACUGGUCCGGUACUGACGCUGAGGUGCGAAAGCGUGGGGAGCAAACAGG